UGAGAUCAUGGUGUCUAUGUCUUCCCUGU
rnacentral:piRNA from 1 species